rnacentral:lncRNA from 1 species
GUCUCUCUGAACUCCACUUGACCUCUCUAUCACCACCUGAUAAAGGCACUGUUAGAUCCAGGUAAAGAUCGAAGGGGACUUCUGUAGCCAUAGAAACUAGGACUGAUUGGAAUAAAGUUCUUGGCCUCUCCAGCCGCAGCCCUCGUUUGGAAGGGAAUUCUAAGUCACCAGAGAGCUACUGCUUAUUCUUGGGAGAAUGUGAGAGUGAACCCUCCUCAUGCUGCCAAACUGGCACGGGAUGCCAUCGCCACUCUGCGAAUGAACAGAACACAAUAAACAAGCCGAGGGAAAGAGCUUCAACUUCCAAAUGCCCUCUUGAGAGAAGAGAGAAGGCAGUUCCUGGGAACAGCAAAAAACGCUGUUCAAAGAGUGGAAGCAUUGAUUUCUACCAUGAAUGACUAAUAAUCAUUGUGGUGUGGUUUAGAAUUGAAAUACAAGUUCUGCAGCCUAAAGAACCAGCAGACCUAUCUCCUGUGAUGUUCCAUUUACACUCGCUUGAUAAAAGCAUCCCAAUAAAUUGGACUGUUGGGUUUAUUUAAACUCAUCCAUCUCAGAUUCAUGAAAGUAUUUACCCAUGAAUCCAAUUUUCAUUUCCAGUUGUUGUGCCUCUGGGACUUUUCUUACUUGAUUAGGGAUGGUUGAUACCCAUCUAAAGUUUGGGUAAGAUAAAUAUUGCAUACACAGCUGAGCUCUUGGUAUCUUCAUGUCAGCGCAUGUGGUACUUAUAGCAGGUCAAGUUGAUAGAUUCGUGCAUUUUCCAUCACUAGGCAAUAAGAAAGCCUUGAAAAAUUCAUUCCUAAGUGUCCAAAUCCAACUGACUGGACGCCAAUUCUUACCAGCAAGUAAUAGACCACCCUGUCUCAACUCACUGGCUCGUCUACAAACAACCACAGCCAGGUGAGCAAGCACACCCUGGCCUAUUUGUUGGCUGGACCGUUUUCCAUUCUCCUCUACUCAGGUUCUCAUCAAUCAAUAUGAAGAAUAUGUAUCAAAAUACCAAAAUCAAAAUAUGGUAUCACAGCAAAUAAUAAUGAUGGUGAUGAUGAUGACAAUUAUCGUUCAUUUAACAAAUGUUAGUAACUGCCUACUAAUGCCUAUGUCGGGUACUAUUCUAGGUGUUGGGAAUGCAGCAGAGAACAAGACGAAGUCCCUGCCCUGAUGGGGCUUGCAAUCUUAGAGCACAGACAUGCAACCAAUUGAAUAAAAUAAUUUUAGAAAUUUAAG